UACAGAGACUGCAAGCGUUAUUCGGAUUCACUGGGCGUAAAGGGUGCGCAGGCGGCCGAGUGUGUGAGGCGUGAAAGCCCGGGGCUUAACCCCGGAAUUGCACCUCAAACUACACGGCUAGAGCAUUGGAGAGGGUAGCAGAAUUCACGGUGUAGCAGUGAAAUGCGUAGAUAUCGUGAGGAAUACCAGAGGCGAAGGCGGCUACCUGGACAGAAACUGACGCUGAGGCGCGAAAGCUAGGGGAGCGAACGGG
rnacentral:rRNA from 1 species